rnacentral:rRNA from 1 species
GCGUGCUUAACACAUGCAAGUCGAGCGAGAAAGGGGGGGCAACCCCCUGAGUAGAGCGGCGCACGGGUGAGUAACGCGUGGGUAACCUACCCCCAGGCGGGGGAUAACUACUCGAAAGGGUGGCUAAUACCGCAUGAGACCACGGGAUCUUCGGAUCCUGAGGCUAAAGAUCGCACCGGCUUGCCGGUGCUGUCACCAGGGGAUGGGCCCGCGUCCGAUUAGCUAGUUGGCGAGGUAAUGGCUCACCAAGGCUCCGAUCGGUAGCUGGUCUGAGAGGAUGAUCAGCCACACUGGAACUGAAACACGGUCCAGACUCCUACGGGAGGCAGCAGUGAGGAAUAUUGCGCAAUGGGGGAAACCCUGACGCAGCAACGCCGCGUGGGUGAAGAAGGCCUUCGGGUCGUAAAGCCCUUUCGGACGGGACGAACGCUCCGCGGCGACAAGCCGCGGAGUCUGACGGUACCGUAGGAAGAAGCACCGGCUAACUCCGUGCCAGCAGCCGCGGUAAUACGGAGGGUGCGAGCGUUGUUCGGAAUUACUGGGCGUAAAGCGCGUGUAGGCGGCCUUGCAAGUCAGGCGUGAAAGCCCUCGGCUUAACCGGGGAAGUGCGUCUGAAACUGCUUGGCUUGAGUACGGGAGAGGGAGGCGGAAUUCCCAGUGUAGAGGUGAAAUUCGUAGAUAUUGGGAGGAACACCGGUGGCGAAAGCGGCCUCCUGGACCGAUACUGACGCUGAGACGCGAAAGCGUGGGGAGCAAACAGGAUUAGAUACCCUGGUAGUCCACGCGGUAAACGAUGGGCACUAGGUGUGGGGGGUAUCCACUCCUCCCGUGCCGAAGCUAACGCAUUAAGUGCCCCGCCUGGGGAGUA